rnacentral:rRNA from 1 species
UAGUCCACGCCGUAAACGAUGUCUGCUAGACGUCGGGGUCCCUAGGGCUUCGGUGUCGCAGCUAACGCAUUAAGCAGACCGCCUGGGGAGUACGCCGGCAACGGUAAAACUCAAAGGAAUUGACGGGGGCCUGCACAAGCGGUGGAGCAUGUGGUUUAAUUCGACGCAACGCGCAGAACCUUACCAGCUUUUGACAUCCUGGUCGCGGAUUUGGGAGACCAUUUCCUUCAGUUCGGCUGGACCAGUGACAGGUGCUGCAUGGCUGUCGUCAGCUCGUGUCGUGAGAUGUUGGGUUAAGUCCCGCAACGAGCGCAACCCUCAUCCUUAGUUGCCAGCAUUUAGUUGGGCACUCUAAGGAAACUGCCGGUGAUAAGCCGGAGGAAGGUGGGGAUGACGUCAAGUCCUCAUGGCCCUUACAAGCUGGGCUACACACGUGCUACAAUGGCGAUGACAGUGAGCAGCUAACCCGCGAGGGCAAGCUAAUCUCUAAAAGUCGU